UUAACUCCGGGCGUNCAGGCGAUACGGGCACGACUAGAGUGCUGUAGGGGUAACUGGAAUUCCUGGUGUAGCGGUGAAAUGCGCAGAUAUCAGGAGGAACACCGAUGGCGAAGGCAGGUUACUGGGCAGUUACUGACGCUGAGGAGCGAAAGCGUGGGGAGCGAACAGGAUUAGAUACCCUGGUAGUCCAUGCUGUAAACGGUGGGCGCUAGGUGUGGGCUGUGUGUUUGCAGUCUGUGCCGUAGCUAACGCAUUAAGCGCCCCGCCUGGGGAGUACGGCCGCAAGGCUAAAACUCAAAGGAAUUGACGGGGGCCCGCACAAGCGGCGGAGCAUGUGGAUUAAUUCGAUGCAACGCGAAGAACCUUACCUGGGUUUGACAUGCACCAGAUCGGCGUAGAGAUACGUCCUCCCUUGUGGUUGGUGCACAGGUGGUGCAUGGUUGUCGUCAGCUCGUGUCGUGAGAUGUUGGGUUAAGUCCCGCAACGAGCGCAACCCUUGUCUUAUGUUGCCAGCACAUUUUUGGUGGGGACUCAUGAGAAACUGCCGGGGUCAACUCGGAGGAAGGUGGGGAUGACGUCAAAUCAUCAUGCCCUUUAUACCCAGGGCUUCACACAUGCUACAAUGGUCGGUACAACGGGUUGCGACACUGUGAAGUGAAGCUAAUCUCUGAAAGCCGGCCUCAGUUCGGAUUGGGGUCUGCAACUCGACCCCAUGAAGUCGGAGUCGCUAGUAAUCGCAGAUCAGCAAUGCUGCGGUGAAUACGUUCCCGGGCCUUGUACACACCGCCCGUCACGUCAUGAAAGUUGGUAACACCCGAAGCCCAUGGCCUAAC
rnacentral:rRNA from 1 species